ensembl:lncRNA
GCCAUUUUGCUGCUCAUCAUAUUGGUGUGCAUUUGCAGUCAUUUGGUCCUGACCAUGUAGUUGGCCAGUUCGCGCUAGGGCUAACACAGGUGGCUAACAUCAUAGUUGCUGAAGGCUACAAAUGGUACCCUGUGUGAGGAGCGCUGUGUUUUGAUGCCUUCUGCACGACCACGAGCUUUGGGGUGAUGCCGUAGCACAAGAUUUGGGGUGACGCCACAGCCCGAGUACCCUAAGGAGAGGGGGAGCCUGCAGAUGAUUGUGGUGACGCCCUGCAGAAGAUUGUGGUGACGAUGAUAGUGCCGGCCAGCAAGUAGAACCUGUGUUGCAGGGGGGUCCAGGGGGGACAACAGGAUGCCCACAGAGACCCGUGCUGAUGGCGGUGUUGAGUGUGAAUUCGCGGUGACGGUGACGGGCUGACCAUGGAACAUGUUCUUAGUUGCCCUUCUUAGGGUGACUGACAGGGAGAUACCACUCAUCUACCUGGAGUCAUAGCAAUUUACAGUAGAGAAACCAGGAGCCUGGUGAUUUUCCUGCAAAAUUCUCAUUGUUCUUAAAUAUCUUUGUAUCUAGUUUUCUCCUCAGUAAAUGCAUGGCAAAGAGUGAUGUUUCUUUAUUUUAAUAAAGGUCUGAAAAAAGGUACAAAACUGUAACUACUAAUGCUGUAGCUAGUUCUUGUCUUACACUAACAUCUAAUCUGACAGAGAGAAUCACAAUCUGUCCUUUCUGGGAAAGACUGGAGACUGAAGAAGUCAGCAUUCUUUCUGAUCACUCUUCCCAACUAGAAAAAUUCAUGAGCUGUUGCAGUUCACUUUGAAGAGGCAUUGUGGAGCCAAUGGCCUUUCUUUUAAUCUACUCUUUGAAAACCUUUGACAGUUUAUACUAGAUGAAGAACAGAAGCAGCAUGCUGCAGCUAUGUGUGACUCAUCUCCAGCAGUUUGAGAAAACAUGUUGAAAACAGUUUUGAGUUUGUUUGCUAAAAUAUACAUGUACACAAAAAAGGCAAGUGAAAGUUCAAAGAGUCCACCUAUUCAAAAAAAAGUCCACGUAUUCAAGAUGCUAUUACAACAUACUACUCUCAGUUAGCUGUUUCACUAGCUUAUCAUAGAAUCAUAAAAUCAUAAAAUCAUAAAAUGGCUUGGGUUGGAAGGGACUUUAAAGGUUGUAUAGUUUCAAUCCUCUCCAGGGUCAGGUUUGCCAACUGUCCAGAGCCCAAUCCAACCUGACCUCCAACACCUUCAGAGAUGGGGCAUCCACAGCUUAUCUGGACAGCCUGUUCCAGUGUGUCACCAACCUUUGAGUAAAGAAUUUCCUCCUAAUAUCUAAUCUAAAUCUCCCCUCUUUUCAUUUUAAACCAUUCCUCCUGUUCUAAUACUAUCAGACCAUGUAAAAAGUAAGUAAAGAUAAGAAAAAAAGUCUCUCCAGUCAUGUUUGUGUGCUGGAUUAUCUCUUUCCUGAGAUACAUUGCUCUUCAGAACAUAUUCUUAUUUCUUUAACAGAAGAAUAAAGCCCAACAUUUGGCACUUCGACCACAAAAUAAAUAAAUAAAACAGAGCAAAAGAGUCUUUAUAAUUUUGCAUAUAAACUUUUGAAUUCUAUUCAUGUGCAUAAUUCUAAGCAAUAAUUUAAAAUAUGAAUUGAUAAUAUAUUUUAAAUUUGAAUGGUAAUUAAAAUAUAAGGAAAGCUCACAAAUGAAACUUACAGUACAAUUUAAACCUCUAACUAUAUUAAAAUAUCUUUUAAAUGUUUUAUGAUACUUCUGGGCUUGUAUGUAGAAUCAAAUAUUUGAGAAUAAAAUUAUAUCUGUGAGUUAAUGAGAUAAGCUGCAUAAUUGCAAAAUAUUUGCCAAUUCCAAUCUAAAUUUUCAUUUAAAUUAUUUAAAUUGCAUUUGUAUUUUGGUAAAAUACAAUUAAGAAAGAUCAGCUUGUAUAGUUUAUGCUGAAUGUGUAGUGUAAUUUUUGAAGACUAUCCUUUUUUUUUAUUUUGGGACUGGAUUCCCUUGUGGAAUUCCCACAACAAUAUUUUUUGAAGCAUCAAAGGACUGAAGACGAUUUUCAAAAGUAGGCUGUUAGGGUACUGUCAGUAUGGUAGCAUUCCUGGUGUAAAACAACUUCCUCUGUUCCACCUUCUUUGGAAGAACCAAAUGAUUACCUGGAAAUAGCCCUCCUUUACCUGUUUGUUUAUAAUAUGGUGAAGAGGGCUGGCAGAUGCUAAGAACAGUGCCAGGCAAAAGCUUGUGUGGACUUUAAGAUCUUUCCGUACCACUUUUUUUUAUGCUGGUAGCUACUUAAUAGAUACUGUCUGGAGAUUAGAUUAUUUUCACAAGUGCAUAGUCAACACUGAGAUAAAAUCACAUCAAACAAAAUAAAAAAGAAAAAAAGAAAAAAAAAA